UACGAAGGGGGCUAGCGUUGCUCGGAAUCACUGGGCGUAAAGCGCACGUAGGCGGAUCUUUAAGUCAGGGGUGAAAUCCUGGAGCUCAACUCCAGAACUGCCUUUGAUACUGGGGAUCUCGAGUCCGGGAGAGGUGAGUGGAACUCCGAGUGUAGAGGUGAAAUUCGUAGAUAUUGGGAAGAACACCAGUGGCGAAGGCGGCUCACUGGCCCGUAACUGACGCUGAGGUGCGAAAGCGUGGGGAGCAAACAGG
rnacentral:rRNA from 1 species